rnacentral:ncRNA from 1 species
GCAGAGUAGGAUAAACGCGUAAAGUGUCGCAAAACGGGAUGUUGUUUGCGAACGAAAGCAUUUUGCUGCGGUGUUUAUUCGCGUCCGUUG